GACGAACGCUGGCGGCGUGCCUAACACGUGCAAGUCGAGCGAAUGGAGUUCCUUCGGGAACGGAUUUAGCGGCGGACGGGUGAGUAACACGUGGGCAACCUGCCUCAUAGAGGGGAAUAGCCUUCCGAAAGGGAGAUUAAUACCGCAUAAGGUUGUAGUACCGCAUGGUACAGCAAUUAAAGGAGCAAUCCGCUAUGAGAUGGGCUCGCGGCGCAUUAGCUAGUUGGAGAGGUAAUGGCUCACCAAGGCGACGAUCAGUAGCCGACCUGAGAGGGUGAUCGGCCACAUUGGGACUGAGACACGGCCCAAACUCCUACGGGAGGCAGCAGUGGGGAAUAUUGCACAAUGGGGGAAACCCUGAUGCAGCAACGCCGCGUGAAGGAAGACGGUUUUCGGAUUGUAAACUUCUAUCAACGGGGAAGAAAAAAAUGACAGUACCCGAAUAAGAAGCCCCGGCUAACUACGUGCCAGCCGCCGCCGUAAUAC
rnacentral:rRNA from 1 species